UACGUAGGUGACCAGCGUUGUCCGGAUUUACUGGGCGUAAAGAGCGCGCAGGCGGUCGUUCAAGUCGAGUGUGAAAGCCCCCGGCUCAACUGGGGAGGGUCACUUGAUACUGAUCGACUCGAAGGCAGGAGAGGGAAGCGGAAUUCCCGGUGUAGUGGUGAAAUGCGUAGAUAUCGGGAGGAACACCAGUGGCGAAGGCGGCUUCCUGGCCUGUUCUUGACGCUGGGGCGCGAAAGCUAGGGGAGCAAACGGG
rnacentral:rRNA from 1 species